rnacentral:lncRNA from 1 species
AUAUAUUUGUGUUUUAAGUUUUAUGGAGGUAAAUUACUUUCCUUUUAGAUUCCUAUGUGUUUUCAACCAGCUAUUUGUGUUUUGUGUUUUUAAUAGUGGAACAUUAGAACAGAUUUAAGAUCUCCAAAUAUAAAAAGUUAUUGUGACAACUUAUAAAGUUCCCCCAAAUUUGUGUAUUAAGAAUUGUAGUUACAAAAUUAUAUCUAUAAAUGUUUCAGUUUGUAGAAAGAUAAUUUCUGUGUACAUGUAUGUUCUCUAGGAAGAUAUUGUAUCAAAUUGUUAGUUUCUUUCUAGAUAAAUAAGAUGAUAGCUUUUUAAUGUUAUCCAAUUUUUCUGUAAUAAGUUUACUUUUUUCAUAAGAACAAUUUUUUUAAGAUAAGGAAAACUUCCUCAUGAUAGAUAGUUAAGAGAAGCAGAAGAAUGUUGCUGAGAAAUGAAUAGCAGGAAGAAAUCAGAAACUGUAGGAACCGAGGGGCAUUUACUUCUGUUGCUGAGACACCAUAAGAGCUGCGAAUGACUCAGACUACUGAGGCUCAAGAACUGCUCCUGAGUUGCCAUGGGAUCUGCAUGCAAGGAGAUGAGCCCUGGCUGUAAUGCCAGGGAUGCUCUUUCUUGUCUGUUUUUACUUCUUCAUGUUACCUUCUCCCAUCGCAUGUUAACAUGUCUCUCUGAUCCUUAAAAACUGUACU